AUGUACAUUAUAUGCCUCAUGUAUAAUAUAAACACUUUGAAAAGUUGAAUAACCAAAUACUUGCCUAAUUGGGGUAUGGUUUUCUUAACUUUCAGAGACAAGUAGAAAAGUUCUAAAUGCCAGGAUGUCCUCCAAAGUGUAAGCUUACGGGUCUGUGUUUUUAAUUUUGGUUCAUUGUAGCUAGAGGUAAGUGAACCUGUGCACUGUAAAAAUAACCCUCUUUCAAAUUAAUGAAAUUCAUUUUCAAAAUUUUUUAGUCUACACACUCCAUAAUGGGCCAAAUGGGUCUUACUCCCAAAUAUAGUGUAUGAUUUGGAAUUAUCAAGAAGUAAAUUCAUUAAACUUAAUCUCAUCCACAGCUGUUGACUAGUUUGGUCAUUUAAAGUAAUCCUUUGCUCCUUGCAGUUAUUGGUGCCCAUCUUGAAUAAUGAAGUUUGAAUUUCACAAAUGUGAAAUAACUCCAUUCCUUUCCUGCAGCACACCCUGAGCCUAUAUGCUGUAGUAAGGUAUUACUCAAGGUCACAGUCGCUUCUCGGCCACACCAGUAGUGCCUGUGGCUCUGCUUGCACUUGGCACCUUCCAAGGCCCUGGAGUUAUUGGUGUUUUCUUAGCUGGAGAACCGCUUUCAGGCACAAUGUCCUUUAAUUCUUCUGCCUUUUCAUAUAUCUGAACUCUCAUCAAAGAUUCUUCAAUUACUGGCACACGAGACUCUUCAAAUAUGAAAGCAGAAUGUGAAGAUGGGUGAAAUGGUGACUGUUCAUCAUAAAUCACAUUGGAAGAUGAAGGGUUAUUAAUAUUCCAAUCACCUAAAAAAAGUGAUUUGAGUAGAACAUUAUUAAAUUUUAGAAUUAUAAAUAGGAACAAUUAAGUUUUGAAUUUUUUGAUAGCCAUUUGAAUUUUACUGACUGCUUAAACAGCCUGAGUAUUUUAUAAAUAAAGUUCAUGUAUGUUUAGAUCUCUCUCUAUAAAGGUAGACGUAUACAGACAGCUAUACUUGUACCUGAAGGGUAGGUUGUUUUAUAUAUACAAAAUAACAGUAUUCAUUUUUCCAAUUACUUUUGUAUAAUAGGUACGAUAAUAUAUGAUGUGUAAAUUCUUUAUAAGUAGCAAAAGCCCAAUAAAAAUCUUAAAAGAAAUAAAUAAUAAAAUUGGACCAAAUUACCUGGUCCAAGCAGCUUACUAAUUUAGCUAUUAUUGAUGGAUAUAGCUUCAGGAUUUGCCAAAAUCACUAAUAAAGGAGACCAAACUGUGGUAACCAGAA